GACGAACCGAGCGAACGUUGUUCGGAAUCACUGGGCUUAAAGGGCGCGUAGGCGGGAUGGCAAGUCGGUCGUGAAAUCCCUCGGCUCAACUGAGGAUCGUCGAUCGAUACUGCCGUUCUUGAGGAUUGCAGAGGAGACUGGAAUUCCCGGUGUAGCGGUGAAAUGUGUAGAGAUCGGGAGGAACACCUGAGGUGAAGACGGGUUGCUGGGCCAACACUGACGCUGAGGCGCGAAAGCCAGGGGAGCAAACGGG
rnacentral:rRNA from 1 species